AACUUUCAACAACGGAUCUCUUGGUUCUCGCAUCGAUGAAGAACGCAGCGAAAUGCGAUACGUAAUGUGAAUUGCAGAAUUCAGUGAAUCAUCGAAUCUUUGAACGCACAUUGCACUCCUUGGUAUUCCGAGGAGUAUGCCUGUUUCAGUA
rnacentral:rRNA from 4 species